AGGGUGGGUGGGGUUGUUGGGGUUGGUAGUGUUUAUUUUAGAAUUAUUUCGUAUACAUUGCGUUUUAGACGUAAUGAUUUCGUUAUUGUUUCUCUUCUUUGUCUUUGUGCGAAGAGACGCUUAGUUAAAGUUUUAGUUUAGUAUUAGUUGGUUGUUGUUAAAAUGAGUUCUUUAAGUGAAGUUGAUUCAGGUAAUUUGAAUAAGUGGAAUGUGAAUGCGAAGAAGUUUUCAAUUAGUGAAAUUGUUUGUCCAUGGUCGCAUGAUAAUUAUCCGUGAGUAUUUACCUUUUUUUUGUUUGUGAUAAAUGUUGAUUUUUUUUAAUUCUUUUUGUUUAAGAUGGGCUUUGGAGGUGAAGGUGGAUAGUGUUGAUCCUUUUAAAACUGGGAAAACUGGGAGUUGUAUAAAUUUUGCUGUGAAGUUGAGAGAUGCUACAGAAGUGGUUCAUUGUAUUGGUUUUCAUGAUGCGGAAGUGAUAUCUAGGAGGUUCAAGGUAAAUUUUUCUUUUGAAUUGUUUUAUACUAUGAUUUGUUAAUGAUUUCAUUUUAUUUGUUUAUUUGUUAUUUUUUCAUGCUGAUGUUUUAGGUUGGUGCUACUUACAGAAUUGAAAAUGCUAAUCCGAAGGAUGUGAAUCCUAAUUUUGUCCGUGAUGAUAGAUUUGAUCAUAAAUGUGAGAUCAUGUUGCCUGCUAAUAAUUUGGUAAUUUUUAGUCACAUUUUUUGUUAGUUUCUGAUUAUUUUCCUUUCGUUAGAUUUGGUGUGUUGUAGAAAGUGGAUUUCCUCCCCAAAAAGUUAGAAAAGUUGAGGAAAAGGUUGAUGUUUUGCCGUCAACGUCGUUGAUGAAGGAAUCAGUGGAAUCAGUGAAAAGUCCAAUCUCUUUGUCAUCUGAAAAAGAGAUAGUAUACAUCUUUGUUUUUCAAAUCUAUUGUGAGUGAUCAUUGGGGAUUUUCCGUGUGUCGUUACUCGGCUGAUUGUAUGCAAAAGUUGGAGCCUGUUGGGAAGAACUAUAAAUGUACAUCUUGUGAUAUUAUUUCUGAUGACUUUGAUUGACAUCUAUCGAUUUUGUUGAAUGUUUUCGAUGGACUGAAUGAUUUUGAAGUUGAAGCUACUUCUACCAAUACAGAAAAGAUUUUAGGUGUGACGUCAUUGUUUGUUGGAAAAUGUGUUCGUAAAAACGAGCUUGAAAAGUUGAAAGGUGUGGCCAUGGCGGCUUCGAAUAAGUUGUUUAAUCUUUCUUUUUUGGCGACCAAACCGUUAUAUUUAUUUAUUUUAUUUUACUUUGUUUUUGUUAUUUUUUUGUGUUUUUUAGGGUCAGACGGUCACACAUAAAAGAGUUGAUUCCGUGUCUGAAUGUUUCAUUUCUGGAGCUGAGGUGAUAAUUAAGAAGAUGCUUGAUAAUGAAUCUGCAGAGGCUAUGGACGAAACGAAAUGAAUUUUUUUGUUGCUGUGCCGAGGUCUUCUUUUCUGGAUAUGAAAAAAAAACAGAAUUUUUUUUUGUUUUGGUUGAGGUAUAAUGCUAAUUAGUAAUUUAGAAACUUAUUUUGAUAAUGUAUUUAAACUGAAACGAAGUUUGAAUGGAUGAAAUUAAAAUUGGUGGAAUGAAGUACGUGUUUUUUUUGUGUUUUUAUUGCGUGAAAACAUGUUUCGAUUUUUUUGACGAUAGA